CGAGCCGGCCGGACGGUCGCGUCAGGAGAGAUCCUGCCGAGGAAAGUCCGGGCUCCACAGGGCAGGGUGGUGGGCAACACCCACCCGGGGUGACCCGCGGGACAGUGCCACAGAGAACAGACCGCCGGGACCGUCCUCGGAUGGUCCCGGUAAGGGUGAAACGGUGGUGUAAGAGACCACCAGCGGCCGGGGUGACCCGGUCGGCUCGGCAAACCCCACCCGGAGCAAGGUCAGACAGGGAGCGUUCGAGGGUGCCCGCCCGAGCUCCCGGGUAGACCGCUUGAGGCUGUCGGCAACGGCAGCCGUAGAUGGAUGGCCGUCCGUGCGCUCCGGCGCACGACAGAACCCGGCUUACAGGCCGACUCGUCCG
rnacentral:RNase_P_RNA from 1 species